rfam:Rattus norvegicus chromosome 13, whole genome shotgun sequence.
GGGGAUUUAGCUCAGUGGUAGAGCACUUGCCUAGCAAGCACAAGACCCUGGGUUCAGUCCCCAGCUCCG